rnacentral:rRNA from 1 species
UACGUAGGGUGCGAGCGUUGUCCGGAAUUAUUGGGCGUAAAGAGCUUGUAGGCGGUCUGUCGCGUCUGCUGUGAAAAUCCGGGGCUCAACCCCGGACUUGCAGUGGGUACGGGCAGACUAGAGUGUGGUAGGGGAGACUGGAAUUCCUGGUGUAGCGGUGAAAUGCGCAGAUAUCAGGAGGAACACCGAUGGCGAAGGCAGGUCUCUGGGCCAUUACUGACGCUGAGAAGCGAAAGCAUGGGGAGCGAACAGG